rnacentral:rRNA from 1 species
GCAUAUCAAUAAGCGGAGGAAAAGAAACCAACAGGGAUUGCCCCAGUAACGGCGAGUGAAGCGGCAACAGCUCAAAUUUGAAAUCUGGCCCCUAGGGUCCGAGUUGUAAUUUGUAGAGGAUGCUUUUGGUGAGGUGCCGCCCGAGUUCCCUGGAACGGGACGCCGCAGAGGGUGAGAGCCCCGUCUGGCUGGCCACCGAGCCUCUGUAAAGCUCCUUCGACGAGUCGAGUAGUUUGGGAAUGCUGCUCAAAAUGGGAGGUAUAUGUCUUCUAAAGCUAAAUAUUGGCCAGAGACCGAUAGCGCACAAGUAGAGUGAUCGAAAGAUGAAAAGCACCUUGAAAAGAGGGUUAAACAGUACGUGAAAUUGUUGAAAGGGAAGCGC